ensembl:snoRNA small nucleolar RNA SNORA16B/SNORA16A family
AGUGGCCCUUAUCAAAGCUGCAGCUGCUUCCACGUAGCUGCUGCGGUCAAAAAGGAGCCCAGAGUGACAGUUUUCCUUGAUGGUCGCCGUUCUCUUUGCUGUAACCGAUCUGCAACAUUUCAGGAAAAGACAAUU